rnacentral:rRNA from 1 species
GACGAACGCUGGCGGCGUGCUUAACACAUGCAAGUCGAACGAUGAAGCUGGAGCUUGCUCCGGUGGAUUAGUGGCGAACGGGUGAGUAACACGUGAGCAAUCUGCCCUUCACUCUGGGAUAACUGCGGGAAACUGUAGCUAAUACCGGAUACGAGACCUUGGGGCAUCCCAGGGUCUGGAAAGAAUUUCGGUGAAGGGAUGAGCUCGCGGCCUAUCAGCUAGUUGGUGAGGUAAUGGCUCACCAAGGCGACGACGGGUAGCCGGCCUGAGAGGGUGACCGGCCACACUGGGACUGAGACACGGCCCAGACUCCUACGGGAGGCAGCAGUGGGGAAUAUUGCACAAUGGGCGAAAGCCUGAUGCAGCAACGCCGCGUGAGGGAUGAAGGCCUUCGGGUUGUAAACCUCUUUUAGUAGGGAAGAAGCGCAAGUGACGGUACCGUAAGAAUAAGCACCGGCUAACUACGUGCCAGCCGCCGCGGUAA